rnacentral:sRNA from 1 species
AUAGAACAAUAGCCGUGCUUACGUCACGUCCACGGGUAUAAAUACAUAGGAGUUUGCUGAUUUGCCCCAGAGGACCAAAUCACGUCCCUCCGAUCGUAGCGAAGAAAAAGUCGUAUUUUUUUCUUCUUCUAAAGUGUACGCUACGAUUAAAAAAAACGCCAAAAUUAUUAAAAGGACUCUUAAAAUCACAAGAGACUUUGCGUUGUUAGCCCCUGCUGGGCGAUGGAAAGGGGGUCUAUUCCCAUACACCUCGGACUGUUACUAUGGAUACUGACCUCGGCUCCUGCUGUUUUGUCUCAAAGCGCACCAAAUGUGUGUACGAAUACCCGGACGAUUCACCAAUUUGCAGACGACAAAUGUAACGCCUUCAUAGACUACAUCAUCGAUGGAUUCAGUUUAAACAAAACGAAAACAUUCCCGGGAAAAUCAGCACAGGAAAUCAACACGCUCCUGACAAAUCCCGACCCGAAUCUUCAGUGUUAUUUCUAUAAGAAAAUUGACGAGAAGUAUCAGGCUUGCUGCGACGGAUGGGUCAGUUCUGUAAACGGAAGUCUCACGUGUGACAUUCCGCAAUGUAGCCCUGCCUGCCAAAAUGGCGGCAAUUGCACAGAACCCCCGAACGUGUGCUCGUGCCCUGCUGCGUACACGGGAUACAGGUGUGAGGAUAAAAUCUCAGACACCUCCAGCACGGCCAAGUUCUGUUACUCCGACCACUACUGUGGCGCCGCAAAGGUCGACAAGUACUAUAACCAGGUAGUGAGUCAGGCCGACUGCUGUACCAAUGGCGGCAAAGGGUGGGGAGUGGGACGGGACAGCUGUACCGUGUGCGCCAAUGCUAAUACCACAGUCCCAGAUACAUCAGUGGUGGUUCAAACGAAUGAACUUGCCUUCAAAACGUGUCUGAACUUCGGGCCUAGCUACUACAGGACCUUUGACGGACUGGAGUAUGAAUAUGGAGGCAUGUGCACCUAUACAUUGCUGAAGGAUAUUGACAAGGGAUGGAAAGUGGAGCUCACCCCAAAGAACUGCGCUAAAGUCAGCGAAUGCACAAAGAGGGUAACCAUGUUCCUCGGAAGCGGUGAAACCAUUUCUGUAGAGGCAGGUCAGGUCAAGGUCAACGAUAUGGAUUUCAUUCUGUCGGGAGAGGAACCAAAGUCUACACCGGAAAACACUUACAACGUACGUAACAUGAGCGGAUGGAUAUUUGUGGACUCCGCUAAAGGCCUUAGCAUAAAGGUUGACAGUAAGUCGACCGUGGAACUGACAGUAUACAGCGACAAAGUGCAGGGUGACGUCAAAUUCCAGGGUCUCUGCGGAAACCUUAAUCGCGAUCCUAGCGAUGAGUUUAAGACAUCUUCAGGCUCUCUCUCCAGCAGUCCUGUGUAUUUUGCCAAUUCCUGGCAGGUGGUCAAUUCGGUUGAUGGGUGUAGCCCGGCUGGAUACAUGCCAAAUUACUGUCGAACACCGGAAGAUGAACAGGCUGCCGCUGACGCAUGCGCACUGAUAAACACGUUACUUCAUCCUUGUCAUACAGCAAUCAACCCAAAGAUGUACUACACAAUGUGCAAGAACAUGCACUGCAGGGCCACCACAGACGACGAGAGGAACCAGGUCAGAUGUCAAUACGCCAACGCCUACUCCCAAGAGUGUGCCGCCAUUAACAUCGUCAUGAAAUGGCGAUCCAAGUAUCUGUGCCCACGUGAAUGCCCCGCCCCUCUCGAGUACUCCGAGUGCACCUCAUCCUGCCCACGCACCUGCAAGACACUGUACCUGGUGGAACCCGACGAGUGCAAGAUGUGCAUCAGUGGAUGUCAGUGUCCCGUCGGAACCUUCCUACAGAACGGCCAGUGUGUCAAACCGGACGAGUGUAUGUGCGAGUUCAACAAGAAACAGUACAAGCACGGAGACACCAUCAAACAACGCUGUAAUCUAUGCACCUGUGACAGAGGACGAUGGACGUGCGAAGAGGACCGCUGCUCAUCCAGCUGUGAGAUCGUCGGUCUGAAUCACGUGGCCACUUUUGACGGGAACCGUUACAGUUUCGCUCCCGACUCCUGCUCUUACACUCUAGUUGAGCCGGAUUCAAACAUUGUAGAUGACAACGAACGAGCUAACAUGACAAUCAAAAUAAAAAUGGACAAAUGUACAGACUUUCAGGACGUGAACUGCAUCGGUAGCGUCACUCUGACGUACCAAAGUGCCAUUAUCAAACUAGAAGGAGAAAAACUCUUCAUUAACCACGUGGACUACAGUGAGACCAUUCGGAAGACACCGUACUCUUUCAAUGGACUCUAUGUCAAGGAGGUCACGAACAAGUUCCGAGUUGUGAAAGCGUUCGGGUUGAAGAUUCUCUACGACAAGAAAAGAACACUGUACAUUGAUCUGAAACCGUUCUAUGCAAACAAGGUGAGAGGAAUGUGUGGACAAUUCAACUAUGACAUCACAGACGACUUCAAGGUCCCUAAUGGGGGAGAACAGGCCACCGUCCAGAACUUUGCCACGGCGUACGGCGAUUCCACUUGUCAGACGGGGGUGUACAGCUACAACAUGGAAAUGGAGGAAAAGCACGAAGCCUGCUACCCUCUUAUGAACACCACACGGGGGGCACUGUUCGCCGACUGUAUACAGAAACACGAGGAGCUGUCCAAGUUCUACUACGCCCAGUGUAACUACGACAUGAAGAAACGCACCACUCAGGUCAACAUGGAGGCGCUGUGUGACAUCGUGUCCGCAUUCUCCCGCCACUGUACCUUCAGUGGUCUGUUUGUCCCCUGGUACAACGAUAGCGCCUACAUCAACCGCUGUGAGAGCUACCUCAGCUGUACACAAGAGGGAUCCGGAGCCGGAUCAGUUUAUACAGACUGCGCCAAAAUCUGUCACGGAACUUGCCGGGACCAGCAGCUGGCUGACGCAAAUUGCGAGGAGGAGUGCGUACCCGGAUGUAUGUGCCCCACCGGACAGGUACAGGACGACUACGGAACGUGCGUGAACAUUGAACGCUGUACUUGUUACGACCAGUACUCACCCAAAGAAAACCGGAUCAAAAAGGCGGGAGAUGUGGUGUCCCGAAGAUGCACCGACUGUACAUGUUCAAACGGUACGUUUGCCUGUGGCAAGGAGAGUUGUGAGGAGCAGAUCGUGUGUCCCAAGAACCAGGUGUACCGAAAAGGUGUGACGGCCUGUCGUAAGACCUGUGAACUGUACGGGAGGGAGAUGAUCUGUGACAGUGACGUGCUGAUGGACGGGUGUGUUUGUGACGAAAGCAACAACCAGACUGCAUACAUGGCACCAGAUGGUACCUGUGUAUCGUCUGAACAAUGCCCCUGUCUGUUCGGUACCAUGUGGUACAAACCCGGGGAAACCGUGACCUACGGCUGCAAAGUUUUCCGAUGCGAGAAUCAGAACUGGAUAAAGAUUGAAGACAAACAUUGUCCAGCCGUCUGCCGAGCCUCGGGAGAUCCUCACUACACGACCUUCGACGGGGUCUCCUUCUCCUUCCAAGGAGUCUGCUCCUACAUCCUGACCAGGGCCAAGGACAAGAGUUUCCAGGUCAUCACGGAGAACGUCAAGUGCGGCAGCACCGACGUGUCCUGCACCAAAUCCAUCCAGAUCACCAUCAAAGGGCAAGAAAUCAACCUGGUCCGAGGGAAAGAUGACGUCAACACCACGGGGGAUAUCUACCAGCUGAGCAACAUUGUUAUCACCAAACAAAGCUUCUGGACGUCCAUUCACGCACCCAGUGAAAACAUCACCAUUUUAUGGGACGGAGGUACCCGUGUGUACGUUUUCCUGAAACCAAUCUGGCAAGGACGAGUUGAGGGGUUGUGUGGAAACUAUGACGGCGAUUCCGUUAAUGAGUACAAAAAGGUCGACGGAAGUGAAGGCACCGCCAUGGACUUUGCCAACAGUUGGGCUGCCUCUACCAGUUGUCCAGUAGCGUCCGUCGGCACUUCUUCCGAAAUUGUCCCUUGCUCCGGAGAACUGUCCCACAGAAAACAGUGGGCGGAGGAAUCUUGUGGUAUUAUCAACAGCGACAUCUUCAAGUCCUGUCGGGAGUUCCUGACUGAUACAGUAGUCAACAGAUACCACGCCAACUGUCUUUUCGACGCCUGCAGAUGUGAUAGCGGAGGAGACUGUGAAUGUUUCUGUACAGCCGUAGCUGACUUUGCCGAGCGCUGUAAUCAGGCCGGAUAUCCGGUAAAAUGGAGGAGCCAGAAAGUUUGCCCCAUCAUGUGUGAGAACGGAUUCCGCUACACCCCCUGCGCCUCUCCCUGCCCCCAGACGUGUAGGAAUAUCGGGGAUGAGCCGGAGCCGUACUGUAACGAUACCCAGUGUGUGGAGGGCUGCUUCUGUCCCGAGGGAUACGUACAGAGAGAUGAGAGAUGCGUUUUGGCCGAGGACUGCCCAUGUUACUACAAUGGUCAAGAAUGGCCCAAAGGCGCUUCUAUCAUCAAGGAUUGUCUGAACUGUACCUGUAUAAACGGCAAAUUCCAUUGCUCGGGCGAAAACUGCACUGUCUGCAAAGACAACGAAUUCACGUGUAACCGCACAGGGGAUUGUAUCAAAAUGGAGUAUCGAUGUGACAACCACGUUGACUGCCGAGACGGAAGUGACGAACAGGGCUGUGAGUACAAAUGUAAGGUGGGCCAGUUCCAAUGCGCCAACCUGAACAAGACUUACUGUGUAGAUAGCAACGUUCUCUGCGACGGAAUGAGAGAUUGUAUCAACGGAGAAGACGAAUUAAACUGCACAUACACUUGUGCCGAACACGAAUUUACUUGUGAAAGUGGAAAGUGCAUUCCCAAAACCUUCAAGUGUGACGGCAAUAUGGAUUGUGGAGUGGGCGAUAACUCCGACGAGAAAGAUUGCGGUGAAACUGAAUGUACACGCGUGCGCAACUUCCGGUGUGGCGCCACCGGUGGCGGGCUGUGUCUACCAAUCACAUUGAAGUGUGACAAACACGACGACUGCGGGGACGGAUCUGACGAAAUCGGAUGUAACUGUACGUGCAGUAGCGCCGAGUUCACCUGUUCAUCGUCCUGUGAAUGCAUUGACCCAUCCAAACGAUGUGAUGGAGUCUUGAACUGUGGGGAUGGGUCUGACGAAAUGGAAUGCCCAUGCACAUUGAACGAGUACACUUGUGACAAUGAGAAAUGUAUCAACGGAACUCAACACUGUGACGGAGUGUAUGACUGUACUGACCAGUCGGACGAGAAAAACUGCGCAACAACUACUCCAGCAACAGAGACAACACCCAUUAUAAGCUCAACAUUGACCACCUUCACCCCUUGCGUAAGUGGAGAGAUCAUGUCCAACCCCGCCGCUCUACCCUCCACCAAAAUCUACAUCAACCCGCAACCUAUCAGCCCGUACACGGCAGAGAACUUGAGGCCGGGAUCCACCGCUCCACUUGAGAUCAACAGCAACACCGCAACAAUCAGCAUGGAUCUUACCACGACAGACAACCCGGAUGGAAGCGUCAUCAAGAGCCUGAACAUCGUGGGAGACCAGAGCAACGUGGAGAAAAUCUCCGUCUCGUACAAAGUCACGCCAACUUCUACUUCACAGGACUUCACCAGCUUCACUGGUAUUGGACCCGUGACCUUCCCCGACAACUUCAAGGUCGCCGCUGUUGACGUCACUCUGCUCCAGAGAACAGAUAGCAGUCAACCUUACAAAAUCAAACUGGAAGUGGUCGCUUGUAUACACGGAGUUACUCCCACAACAACGGUUCCAACCACUGUAACGACACCUUGCGCCGACGCCAUGCUGGAUACUUCACCAUCCGUCGUUGGAGUCACUAUUUCCGGUUUCCCGACUACGAUGCUCGCCACUGAUAUAUUUUCGUCUUUGGGAGUUCUUUCAAUGCCUGGCUCUGUUACUCCAGUGACAGUUGACCUGACCUUCAAAACGCCACAACCCCCAAAGGUCACGGACUUUGUAUUCACCCUUACCAACGGAAAAGAUAUUGAAGUGACAUUCACAGAUGAAAAUGGCUCCACAAGGAAACUGAAUCCUGAUCCUACACCAAAUGGGCGAAUCAUCCUGGACUUUAAUGGACAGCCAAGCCUUGGGAUCACCAUCAAAGCAACACCCAGCUCAACGACCGAGUCAUUAACUAUUAAAGAGACAGAAGUGAAAGCUUGUUCUGAAAUAGUGACAUUGCCACCGUUGACGACCCCAGCACCACCCACCCCAUCAACGACAACUCCAUUAAGUACUCCUACCCCAUCAGGGGAAACAACUCCAAUCUCAACAGUCUGUACUGAGGAGAUGUUGACCCCGACUGACCUUUCCGUGAUGUCCGUUGAUAGUCCGUCGUUCCCCUCGACCGACUUGCCAAACUUAUUCACAUCUGUUGGAGUGGUCUCAAACACCCCGACAACCACUGCGGAGAUUGUGGUCACAUUUAACACAGCGUCACCUCCAAGGGUCACCACGGUCACCACCACCGUUACCAAGGCAACGUCCGUGGUGUUUACGCUUUUAGACGAAGACAAUAACCCAAUUCAGACUCAGACUAAGCCUGUCACAAAAGUCACCGAGACACCAACCUCCGUGAAAAACACAGAAGUCAAGGCCUGUACCGAGAUCACACAGACAACUACACCAUCAGUGACAACUACAGUUAUAGUUCCAACAACCUCCCCUGUCCCAUCAGAGGAAACAACUCCUUUGACAACAGUCUGUACUGAGGAGAUGUUGACCCCGACUGACCUUUCCGUGAUGUCCGUUGAUAGUCCGUCGUUCCCCACGACUGACUUGCCAAACUUAUUCACGUCUGUUGGAGUGGUCUCCAACACCCUGACAACCACAGCGGAGAUUGUGGUCACAUUUAACACAGCGUCACCACCAAGGGUCACAACGGUCACCACAACCGUUACCAAAGCAACGUCCGUGGAGUUUACGCUAUUAGACGAAGACGAUACCCCAAUUCAGACCCAGACUAAGCCUGUCACAACGGUGGGCGAAACACCAGUUACUGCUACGUUCAGCGGUGUUCCUGGCAAAAAAGUCAAAAUCGUGGUCACCAAAACUAGCUCUGAUGUUCAGACCUCCGUUAAAAACACCGAAGUUAAAGCUUGCACUGAGGUUCCUUCAACUACUACACCAGUUACUCCAUCACCGUCAGUUCCAGUGACAACUCCAACUCCUUCCGUGACAUCACAAACAACACCGGAAGUCACGCCCUCUGUCACCACACCACCGAUUACGGAGACAACUCCUACUGUCACCACAGUUUGCCAGACCAUCAUGGUUACUGAGGCCAAUCCUAACAUCUUGUCAGUAAGCAGUUCCACGUAUCCUAAUCCAAGCGACAUGUUUACGUCAUCUGGGACAACUGAAACAGCACAGACAUCCGUCGCGUCGGCCAUUUUGACUUUCAAUAACCUUGCAAAGAUAACUGAUGUUAAAGUGACAGUAGAUAAUGUCUAUAAAACUGUAAUUGAAGUCUUGCUAGAAAAUGGAGCAACAGCAGAGAAAAAGGAAUUAACAUAUCAAGGAGAUUUAAUGGUCAAUUUCAAAGGAAUAGAGGGAAAAUCAAUCAAAAUGACAUUGUACAAGGACAUUAGUUCCUCACCAUCAAAAAUAUCCUCCGUUCAAAUUAAAGCAUGUGUAGAAGCAGGAACUACAACCUCUGUUACUUGCGUUGACGAGAUGCUGACAGCUGGUCCAAAUGUGUUGUCGCCAAGCAGUGACGAUAUCCCUGUCGGAAAUAUCCCCAAUAUUUUCACUCCUGUUGGCGCCAGUACGGUCACCAGUAAUCCUUCCCCGACUGUUGAAUUCACUCUGAACAGUGACCAACCACCACAGGUCACCACUGUGAGAGCGACCGUUUUGAAUGCGGAGAAGGUGGAAGUAACCUUAGAGCAACCUAACGGAGACAAGACAACAAAGACACCAGUUAUUUCACCCGAUGGCACUGUAGAAGUGAACUUUAAAGGAGAAACCGGAAGCAAAAUCAUCAUUACAAUAACCAAGAAAGACCCAACCGCACCCUCAACUGUUUCUGUAGUUGAAGUCAAAGCAUGUACAGAAGUUACAACAACACUUCCAACAACGACAAUAGCCAGUACCCCUAGUGUUUCUUCACCAAUACCGUCUGUAACGCCAGGAACGCCAACACCAAGUGGACCGACACCAUCAGUGACGCCAACACCAAGUGGACCUACUCCAUCUGGAACACCUACACCAAGUGGACCUACUCCAUCGGUUACCCCUACUCCAAGUGGACCUACUCCAUCUGUUACACCGACACCCAGUGGACCAACACCAAGUGGACCUACCCCAUCUGUAACACCAACGCCUAGUGGACCUACACCGUCCGUAACACCCACACCAAGUGGUCUAACCACUACAACAGUUACAACUUGCGUUGACGAGAUGCUGACAGCUGGUCCAAAUGUGUUGUCGCCAAGCAGUGACGAUAUCCCUGUCGGAAAUAUCCCCAAUAUUUUCACUCCUGUUGGCGCCAGUACGGUCACCAGUAAUCCUUCCCCGACUGUUGAAUUCAUUCUGAACAGUGACCAACCACCACAGGUCACCACUGUGAGAGCGACCGUUUUGAAUGCGGAGAAGGUGGAAGUAACCUUAGAGCAACCUAACGGAGACAAGACAACAAAGACACCAGUUAUUUCACCCGAUGGCACUGUAGAAGUGAACUUUAAAGGAGAAACCGGAAGCAAAAUCAUCAUUACAAUAACCAAGAAAGACCCAACCGCACCCUCAACUGUUUCUGGAGUUGAAGUCAAAGCAUGUACAGAAGUUACAACAACACUUCCAACAACGACAAUAGCCAGUACCCCUAGUGUUUCUUCACCAAUACCGUCUGUAACGCCAGGAACGCCAACACCAAGUGGACCGACACCAUCAGUGACGCCAACACCAAGUGGACCUACUCCAUCUGGAACACCUACACCAAGUGGACCUACUCCAUCUGUUACCCCUACUCCAAGUGGACCUACUCCAUCUGUUACACCGACACCCAGUGGACCAACACCAAGUGGACCUACCCCAUCUGUAACACCAACGCCUAGUGGACCUACACCGUCCGUAACACCCACACCAAGUGGUCUAACCACUACAACAGUUACAACUUGCGUUGACGAGAUGCUGACAGCUGGUCCAAAUGUGUUGUCGCCAAGCAGUGACGAUAUCCCUGUCGGAAAUAUCCCCAAUAUUUUCACUCCUGUUGGCGCCAGUACGGUCACCAGUAAUCCUUCCCCGACUGUUGAAUUCACUCUGAACAGUGACCAACCACCACAGGUCACCACUGUGAGAGCGACCGUUUUGAAUGCGGAGAAGGUGGAAGUAACCUUAGAGCAACCUAACGGAGACAAGACAACAAAGACACCAGUUAUUUCACCCGAUGGCACUGUAGAAGUGAACUUUAAAGGAGAAACCGGAAGCAAAAUCAUCAUUACAAUAACCAAGAAAGACCCAACCGCACCCUCAACUGUUUCUGUAGUUGAAGUCAAAGCAUGUACAGAAGUUACAACAACACUUCCAACAACGACAAUAGCCAGUACCCCUAGUGUUUCUUCACCAAUACCGUCUGUAACGCCAGGAACGCCAACACCAAGUGGACCGACACCAUCAGUGACGCCAACACCAAGUGGACCUACUCCAUCUGGAACACCUACACCAAGUGGACCUACUCCAUCGGUUACCCCUACUCCAAGUGGACCUACUCCAUCUGUUACACCGACACCCAGUGGACCAACACCAAGUGGACCUACCCCAUCUGUAACACCAACGCCUAGUGGACCUACACCGUCCGUAACACCCACACCAAGUGGUCUAACCACUACAACAGUUACAACUUGCGUUGACGAGAUGCUGACAGCUGGUCCAAAUGUGUUGUCGCCAAGCAGUGACGAUAUCCCUGUCGGAAAUAUCCCCAAUAUUUUCACUCCUGUUGGCGCCAGUACGGUCACCAGUAAUCCUUCCCCGACUGUUGAAUUCACUCUGAACAGUGACCAACCACCACAGGUCACCACUGUGAGAGCGACCGUUUUGAAUGCGGAGAAGGUGGAAGUAACCUUAGAGCAACCUAACGGAGACAAGACAACAAAGACACCAGUUAUUUCACCCGAUGGCACUGUAGAAGUGAACUUUAAAGGAGAAACCGGAAGCAAAAUCAUCAUUACAAUAACCAAGAAAGACCCAACCGCACCCUCAACUGUUUCUGGAGUUGAAGUCAAAGCAUGUACAGAAGUUACAACAACACUUCCAACAACGACAAUAGCCAGUACCCCUAGUGUUUCUUCACCAAUACCGUCUGUAACGCCAGGAACGCCAACACCAAGUGGACCGACACCAUCAGUGACGCCAACACCAAGUGGACCUACUCCAUCUGGAACACCUACACCAAGUGGACCUACUCCAUCUGUUACCCCUACUCCAAGUGGACCUACUCCAUCUGUUACACCGACACCCAGUGGACCAACACCAAGUGGACCUACCCCAUCUGUAACACCAACGCCUAGUGGACCUACACCGUCCGUAACACCCACACCAAGUGGUCUAACCACUACAACAGUUACAACUUGCGUUGACGAGAUGCUGACAGCUGGUCCAAAUGUGUUGUCGCCAAGCAGUGACGAUAUCCCUGUCGGAAAUAUCCCCAAUAUUUUUACUCCUGUUGGCGCCAGUACGGUCACCAGUAAUCCUUCCCCGACUGUUGAAUUCACUCUGAACAGUGACCAACCACCACAGGUCACCACUGUGAGAGCGACCGUUUUGAAUGCGGAGAAGGUGGAAGUAACCUUAGAGCAACCUAACGGAGACAAGACAACAAAGACACCAGUUAUUUCACCCGAUGGCACUGUAGAAGUGAACUUUAAAGGAGAAACCGGAAGCAAAAUCAUCAUUACAAUAACCAAGAAAGACCCAACCGCACCCUCAACUGUUUCUGGAGUUGAAGUCAAAGCAUGUACAGAAGUUACAACAACACUUCCAACAACGACAAUAGCCAGUACCCCUAGUGUUUCUUCACCAAUACCGUCUGUAACGCCAGGAACGCCAACACCAAGUGGACCGACACCAUCAGUGACGCCAACACCAAGUGGACCUACUCCAUCUGGAACACCUACACCAAGUGGACCUACUCCAUCUGUUACCCCUACUCCAAGUGGACCUACUCCAUCUGUUACACCGACACCCAGUGGACCAACACCAAGUGGACCUACCCCAUCUGUAACACCAACGCCUAGUGGACCUACACCGUCCGUAACACCCACACCAAGUGGUCUAACCACUACAACAGUUACAACUUGCGUUGACGAGAUGCUGACAGCUGGUCCAAAUGUGUUGUCGCCAAGCAGUGACGAUAUCCCUGUCGGAAAUAUCCCCAAUAUUUUCACUCCUGUUGGCGCCAGUACGGUCACCAGUAAUCCUUCCCCGACUGUUGAAUUCACUCUGAACAGUGACCAACCACCACAGGUCACCACUGUGAGAGCGACCGUUUUGAAUGCGGAGAAGGUGGAAGUAACCUUAGAGCAACCUAACGGAGACAAGACAACAAAGACACCAGUUAUUUCACCCGAUGGCACUGUAGAAGUGAACUUUAAAGGAGAAACCGGAAGCAAAAUCAUCAUUACAAUAACCAAGAAAGACCCAACCGCACCCUCAACUGUUUCUGUAGUUGAAGUCAAAGCAUGUACAGAAGCUUGCGUUGACGAGAUGCUGACAGCUGGUCCAAAUGUGUUGUCGCCAAGCAGUGACGAUAUCCCUGUCGGAAAUAUCCCCAAUAUUUUUACUCCUGUUGGCGCCAGUACGGUCACCAGUAAUCCUUCCCCGACUGUUGAAUUCACUCUGAACAGUGACCAACCACCACAGGUCACCACUGUGAGAGCGACCGUUUUGAAUGCGGAGAAGGUGGAAGUAACCUUAGAGCAACCUAACGGAGACAAGACAACAAAGACACCAGUUAUUUCACCCGAUGGCACUGUAGAAGUGAACUUUAAAGGAGAAACCGGAAGCAAAAUCAUCAUUACAAUAACCAAGAAAGACCCAACCGCACCCUCAACUGUUUCUGGAGUUGAAGUCAAAGCAUGUACAGAAGUUACAACAACAAUUCCAACAACGACAAUAGCCAGUACACCUAGUGUUUCUUCACCAAUACCGUCUGUAACGCCAGGAACGCCAACACCAAGUGGACCGACACCAUCAGUGACGCCAACACCAAGUGGACCUACUCCAUCUGGAACACCUACACCAAGUGGACCUACUCCAUCUGUUACCCCUACUCCAAGUGGACCUACUCCAUCUGUUACACCGACACCCAGUGGACCAACACCAAGUGGACCUACCCCAUCUGUAACACCAACGCCUAGUGGACCUACACCGUCCGUAACACCCACACCAAGUGGUCUAACCACUACAACAGUUACAACUUGUGUUGACGAGAUGCUGACAGCUGGUCCAAAUGUGUUGUCACCAAGCAGUGACGAUAUCCCUGUCGGAAAUAUCCCCAAUAUUUUCACUCCUGUUGGCGCCAGUACGGUCACCAGUAAUCCUUCCCCGACUGUUGAAUUCACUCUGAACAGUGACCAACCACCACAGGUCACCACUGUGAGAGCGACCGUUUUGAAUGCGGAGAAGGUGGAAGUAACCUUAGAGCAACCUAACGGAGACAAGACAACAAAGACACCAGUUAUUUCACCCGAUGGCACUGUAGAAGUGAACUUUAAAGGAGAAACUGGAAGCAAAAUCAUCAUUACAAUAACCAAGAAAGACCCAACCGCACCCUCAACUGUUUCUGGAGUUGAAGUCAAAGCAUGUACAGAAGCUUGCGUUGACGAGAUGCUGACAGCUGGUCCAAAUGUGUUGUCGCCAAGCAGUGACGAUAUCCCUGUCGGAAAUAUCCCCAAUAUUUUUACUCCUGUUGGCGCCAGUACGGUCACCAGUAAUCCUUCCCCGACUGUUGAAUUCACUCUGAACAGUGACCAACCACCACAGGUCACCACUGUGAGAGCGACCGUUUUGAAUGCGGAGAAGGUGGAAGUAACCUUAGAGCAACCUAACGGAGACAAGACAACAAAGACACCAGUUAUUUCACCCGAUGGCACUGUAGAAGUGAACUUUAAAGGAGAAACCGGAAGCAAAAUCAUCAUUACAAUAACCAAGAAAGACCCAACCGCACCCUCAACUGUUUCUGGAGUUGAAGUCAAAGCAUGUACAGAAGUUACAACAACACUUCCAACAACGACAAUAGCCAGUACCCCUAGUGUUUCUUCACCAAUACCGUCUGUAACGCCAGGAACGCCAACACCAAGUGGACCGACACCAUCAGUGACGCCAACACCAAGUGGACCUACUCCAUCUGGAACACCUACACCAAGUGGACCUACUCCAUCUGUUACCCCUACUCCAAGUGGACCUACUCCAUCUGUUACACCGACACCCAGUGGACCAACACCAAGUGGACCUACCCCAUCUGUAACACCAACGCCUAGUGGACCUACACCGUCCGUAACACCCACACCAAGUGGUCUAACCACUACAACAGUUACAACUUGCGUUGACGAGAUGCUGACAGCUGGUCCAAAUGUGUUGUCGCCAAGCAGUGACGAUAUCCCUGUCGGAAAUAUCCCCAAUAUUUUUACUCCUGUUGGCGCCAGUACGGUCACCAGUAAUCCUUCCCCGACUGUUGAAUUCACUCUGAACAGUGACCAACCACCACAGGUCACCACUGUGAGAGCGACCGUUUUGAAUGCGGAGAAGGUGGAAGUAACCUUAGAGCAACCUAACGGAGACAAGACAACAAAGACACCAGUUAUUUCACCCGAUGGCACUGUAGAAGUGAACUUUAAAGGAGAAACCGGAAGCAAAAUCAUCAUUACAAUAACCAAGAAAGACCCAACCGCACCCUCAACUGUUUCUGGAGUUGAAGUCAAAGCAUGUACAGAAGCUUGUGUUGACGAGAUGCUGACAGCUGGUCCAAAUGUGUUGUCGCCAAGCAGUGACGAUAUCCCUGUCGGAAAUAUCCCCAAUAUUUUCACUCCUGUUGGCGCCAGUACGGUCACCAGUAAUCCUUCCCCGACUGUUGAAUUCACUCUGAACAGUGACCAACCACCACAGGUCACCACUGUGAGAGCGACCGUUUUGAAUGCGGAGAAGGUGGAAGUAACCUUAGAGCAACCUAACGGAGACAAGACAACAAAGACACCAGUUAUUUCACCCGAUGGCACUGUAGAAGUGAACUUUAAAGGAGAAACCGGAAGCAAAAUCAUCAUUACAAUAACCAAGAAAGACCCAACCGCACCCUCAACUGUUUCUGGAGUUGAAGUCAAAGCAUGUACAGAAGCUUGCGUUGACGAGAUGCUGACAGCUGGUCCAAAUGUGUUGUCGCCAAGCAGUGACGAUAUCCCUGUCGGAAAUAUCCCCAAUAUUUUCACUCCUGUUGGCGCCAGUACGGUCACCAGUAAUCCUUCCCCGACUGUUGAAUUCACUCUGAACAGUGACCAACCACCACAGGUCACCAUUGUGAAAGCCACUGUCGAGAAUGCAGAAACGGUGGAGGUCACAUUAGAGCAACCCAAUGGAGAAAAGAUUACAAAGACACCAGUUUUGUCGCCUGAUGGCACUGUUGAAGUUAACUUUAAAGGGGAAAUUGGAAGCAAAAUUAUCAUAAAGAUCACCAAGAAGGACGAAUCAGCACCCUCAACUGUAUCUAGUGUUGAAGUCAAAGCUUGUACACAGGUUUCCACAAUCCUUUCAACAACUACACCAAGUGUUUCUUCACCACCACCGUCCGUAACGCCAGGAACACCAACACCAAGUGGACCGACACCAUCAGUAACUCCAACGCCAAGUGGACCUACUCCAUCUGGAACACCUACGCCAAGUGGACCUACUCCAUCUGGUACACCUACACCCAGUGGACCAACUCCAUCUGUGACGCCUACGCCUAGUGGACCAACACCUUCUGUGACACCCACGCCCAGUGGGCCGACUCCUUCCGUAACACCUACACCAAGUGUUCCAACACCCAGUGGUCCAACCCCAUCCGUUACACCAACACCUAGUGGACCUACACCGUCUGUAACACCAACACCAAGUGGCCCAACCACUACAACAGUUACAACUUGUGUCGAUGAAAUGCUGACAGCCAGUGCUAAUGAGUUGACUCCAAGCAGUGACGAUAUCCCUGGAAGUGUGGCCAAUGUGUUCACUCCUACUGGUGCCACUACGGACAAUGUUAAUCCUACCCCAACUGUUGAAUUCACUCUGAACGGUGAUCAACCACCACAGGUCACUACUGUGAAAGCCAAUGUUGGGAAUGCGGAAUCGGUGGAAGUCACAUUAGAGCAACCCAAUGGAGAAAAGAUUACAAAGACACCAGUUUUGUCACCCGAUGGCACUGUUGAAGUUAACUUUAAAGGGGAAAUUGGAAGCAAAAUUAUUAUAAAGAUCACCAAGAAAGACGAAACUGCAUCUUCAACUGUAUCUAGCGUUGAAGUCAAAGCGUGUACCGAGGCAACUGGAACUACGCAAACAACGGAAAAAGUUGGAGUAGUGACAACAACGCCACUUCUUACAACAACAUCCGUUUUCACAACCACAGGAAUAGUUCAAUCAACAACUCCAACCAUCUCCACGGUUUGUGUCAAGACCGAGGGAAUGAGCGAUUAUUCCCAGAUUCCCACUGGAAGCAUUUCAUUUACCAAUAAUGAAAUUUCGCCUGCUGAUAUUGAUAAGGUUCGACCAGAAAACGUUAAUGGUCCUCUUACGGUCAAAGAAACAUCGCCAGAAAAGCCUAUUGUUGUUUCUAUUUCGUUCCCCCCUGAAGGGGUAGAAGUGGGCCAAAUUAAAGUGAGUCCUGAAGAACUUCUAACAACAACGGAAAUCAGUGAGAGAAACAUUGAAUCAUUCGAUGUGUCGUACAAGAUUCCAGAUGACGACACUUUGUAUCCUCUCCUUGGUGGAAAGAAAUUCUCUGGAACUGAACCAGCUGAUCUGAAAUCAAUGCUAGUUAACGAAAUUGUGAUCACUGUCAAACCCAGUGACGCUUCCCAAGAUGUUUUGCUAGUGUUAUCAGUCAAAGCCUGUUUCGGAGGCACACAGACAACAUUGUCGACGACAAGGGUGACAUCAACAUUGACGACAGUUCUUCCUGGAUCCCCCCCAACUCCACCCGAAUUUACACUACCACCUCCGGGUGUCACCACAACCCUUGGUACGACGCCUUCCGUAACAUCAAGUGGAACAGUUCCUCAAACGCCUGCAACAAAAGUAUCUACACCGCAGAUUAGUACACCAUCCUCGGGAACUCCAUCAGAAAAAAUUACGACUCCAUCAUUUGGAACUACGCCAUCUGUGACAACAAGUGGAUCUACUCCAUCAGUUACACCUACACCAAGUGUUUCCACCCCAAGCACACCUACACCAAGUGGACCGACACCAUCAAUUACACCAACACCAAGUGGCCCAACUACUACAACAGUGACAAGCUGCGUUGAUGAAAUGCUGACAGCUGCUCCAAAUGUAUUGACGCCAAGCAGUGAUGAUAUGCCUGGCGAAAAUGUGGACAAUGUGUUCACUUCUACUGGUGCCACUACGGACAAUGUUAAUCCUACCCCAACUGUUGAAUUCACUCUGAACAGUGAUCAGCCACCACAGGUCACCGCUGUGAAAGCCAUUGUUAGGAAUGCAGAAACUGUGGAAGUCACAUUAGAGCAACCCAAUGGAGAAAAGAUUACAAAGACACCAGUUUUGUCACCUGAUGGCACUGUUGAAGUUAAUUUCAGAGGUGAAACUGGAAGCAAAAUUACCAUAAAGAUUACCAAGAAGGACACAAGUGCACCCUCAACUGUAUCUAGCGUUGAAGUCAAAGCUUGCACAAGUGGUGUAACAACCACCCUCGGUACGUCGCCUUCAGUAACUUCGAGUGGAACAGUUCCUCAAACGCCAGCAACAAAAGUAUCUACACCGCGAAUUACUACAAUAUCAUCCGGAACUCCGUCAGAAAUAAUCACAACACCUUCAUUUGGAACAACACCAUCUGUGACCACAAGUGGGUCAACCCCUAGUGUAACAACACCUGGCGGUCCAACACCAAGUGGUCCAACUCCUGGACCCUCUCCAAGUGGACCAACACCCUCUGCGACUCCAACUCCGAGCGGACCAACACCGAGUGGAACAACGCCAAGUGGCUCCACUCCUUCUGCAACAAUAACUACUAUUUCGACCCCUUCUACAACAGUUUGCAGUUACGUCGAUAUUGGACCUGAACAAGCUAUAGAUGUGUCUCUUCGUUCUCCCAGUGAAGAUCCGGACGCUCCUAUAGAAAACAUUUUACAAACAAACAGUGUGUACAAACCGAAAAAGGAGCCAACUUAUGAUGAAAAUGUUGUCGUAAAAAUUAUAUCGCAAGACACUCCGACUAUUUUGCGAGUGUCAUUUACUGUAAACAGAGCAGACACUGUUGGCCUUGAAUACCUCACGGAUUAUAAACAAAAAAUCAUAACUCAAAAUAAUGAGACGGUAGAAUUUGUGUUUGCUGCUGGUAUCAUCACAGACAAUUUUACAAUCAACAUUAGGAGCGAUUCUGCUGAACAGCCAGAAAUCUCAAAUCUCAAAAUCCGGGCAUGUUACAAACCAGUCAUAGGACAGCCAUCAACAACGACACCAAACCCAUCAUCCCUUUUCUCUUUUCUUAUCCUACGAGAAGCGCAAACUACAGCGUCCAGUACCUGUGAUUUUUGGUGCAAUGAUCGCAGUACCUGCAUAGCUGGCUCCCAGCGCUGCGACGGUAUAAAACAAUGUGACGACGGCGAGGAUGAAGAGGGUUGUCUCGGCACAACAACAUCUGUGUUGACAACAACAUAUCAAUGCCCACCGACAACCAUUCCCUGUUCUAAGGAACCAAUUUGUUAUCUUACUAGUGAGAUAUGCGACGGAAAAUGUGAUUGCCUCGUGCAUUGCGAUGACGAAAAAGACUGCAAGGAAACUACAACUAAAACACCCCCAACAACUACUUCAGUUUGUCCGGUUCCAAUGCUUGAUGAUACGAAUCCAAAUGACCUGACUGAUCUUGUUGAUGUGUUUGUGAACGAAGUAAUAUCUUCCACUUCAUCCCCAUUAUCUGGAACAUCUGAACUAACUAACGGGAAUCCGGGUCAGAAAGUGAAAGUGAAAGUUGUUUUCAAAGACAAAAAUGAGGAAUCUCCAGUGGGAAGGAUCAGUGUCACAACCCAAAAUGCAGAGAAGGUCAUUUUUAUCCUAAGAAAACCAAAUGGUGCGACAAUUACGAGGGAAAAGCCGGUACGGAAUCCAUCUGCAGAACAAACUGUGGAGACAGACUUUGCUGAGGAAUUGGCCACUGACGUGGAGAUAAUAUUUUUUCCAGCGAGAAUAUCUUCAAUUGUUUCCGUGAAAGAUUUGAGAAUAAAAACAUGCAUUGAAAUGGUCGGAACAACAACGCUUCCUUCAGUUCAAAUACCAUCUACAACACCCCUAUCUGGUCUUCCAUCUGGAUUCACAUCCACACAACAAGGCCCCAUAACGCCUACAAGUUGUCCGGUUCCAAUGCUUGAUGAUACGAAUCCAAAUGACCUGGCUGAUCUUGUUGAUGUGUUUGUGAACCAAGUAAUAUCUUCCACUCCAUCCCCAUUAUCUGGCACAUCUGAACCGACUAACGGGAAUCCGGGUCAGGAAGUGAAAGUGAAAGUUGUUUUCAAAGACAAAGAUGACGAAUCUCCAGUUGGAAAGAUCAGUGUCACAACCCAAAAUGCAGAAAAGGUCAUUUUUAUCCUGACACAACCAAAUGGUACCACAGUGACAAAGGAAAAGACGGUGCAGAAUCCCUCGGAAGAAAGUACUGUGGAUGAAGACUUCGUGGGUGAACCUGCCUCCACAGUUGAAAUACAAUUGGUUCCCGUGGACGAAACUUCGACUGUUUCCGUGAAAGAUUUGGGAAUUAAAGCAUGCAUCGAGAGAGUAGGAACAACGACACUUCCUUCAGUUCAAACACCAUCUACAACACCCUUAUCAGGUCCUCCAUCGGGUUCAACAUCCACACCACAAGGAACGACAACGCCGAUAAGUUGUCCGGUUCAAAUGCUUGAUGAUACGAAUCCAAAUGACCUGGCUGAUCUUGUUGAUGUGUUUGUGAACCAAGUAAUAUCUUCCACUUCAUCCCCAUUAUCUGGCACAUCUGAACCGACUAACGGGAAUCCGGGUCAGGAAGUGAAAGUGAAAGUUGUUUUCAAAGACAAAGAUGACGAAUCUCCAGUUGGAAAGAUCAGUGUCACAACCCAAAAUGCAGAAAAGGUCAUUUUUAUCCUGACACAACCAAAUGGUACCACAGUGACAAAGGAAAAGACGGUGCAGAAUCCCUCGGAAGAAAGUACUGUGGAUGAAGACUUCGUGGGUGAACCUGCCUCCACAGUUGAAAUACAAUUGGUUCCCGUGGACGAAACUUCGACUGUUUCCGUGAAAGAUUUGGGAAUUAAAGCAUGUAUCGAGAGAGGAACAACGACACUUCCUUCAGUUCAAACACCAUCUACAACACCCUUAUCAGGUCCUCCAUCGGGUUCAACAUCCACACCACAAGCAACGACAACGCCGAUAAGUUGUCCGGUUCCAAUGCUUGAUGAUACGAAUCCAAAUGACCUGGCUGAUCUUGUUGAUGUGUUUGUGAACCAAGUAAUAUCUUCCACUUCAUCCCCAUUAUCUGGCACAUCUGAACCGACUAACGGGAAUCCGGGUCAGGAAGUGAAAGUGAAAGUUGUUUUCAAAGACAAAGAUGACGAAUCUCCAGUGGGAAAGAUCAGUGUCACAACCCAAAAUGCAGAAAAGGUCAUUUUUAUCCUGACACAACCAAAUGGUACCACAGUGACAAAGGAAAAGACGGUGCAGAAUCCCUCGGAAGAAAGUACUGUGGAUGAAGACUUCGUGGGUGAACCUGCCUCCACAGUUGAAAUACAAUUGGUCCCCGUGGACGAAACUUCGACUGUUUCCGUGAAAGAUUUGGGAAUUAAAGCAUGCAUCGAGAGAGGAACAACGACACUUCCUUCAGUUCAAACACCAUCUACAACACCCUUGUCAGGUCCUCCAUCGGGUUCAACAUCCAAACCACAAGGAACGACAACGCCGAUAAGUUGUCCGGUUCCAAUGCUUGAUGAUACGAAUCCAAAUGACCUGGCUGAUCUUGUUGAUGUGUUUGUGAACCAAGUAAUAUCUUCCACUUCAUCCCCAUUAUCUGGCACAUCUGAACCGACUAACGGGAAUCCGGGUCAGGAAGUGAAAGUGAAAGUUGUUUUCAAAGACAAAGAUGACGAAUCUCCAGUGGGAAAGAUCAGUGUCACAACCCAAAAUGCAGAAAAGGUCAUUUUUAUCCUGACACAACCAAAUGGUACCACAGUGACAAAGGAAAAGACGGUGCAGAAUCCCUCGGAAGAAAGUACUGUGGAUGAAGACUUCGUGGGUGAACCUGCCUCCACAGUUGAAAUACAAUUGGUUCCCGUGGACGAAACUUCGACUGUUUCCGUGAAAGAUUUGGGAAUUAAAGCAUGCAUCGAGAGAGUAGGAACAACGACACUUCCUUCAGUUCAAACACCAUCUACAACACCCUUAUCAGGUCCUCCAUCGGGUUCAACAUCCACACCACAAGCAACGACAACGCCGAUAAGUUGUCCGGUUCCAAUGCUUGAUGAUACGAAUCCAAAUGACCUGGCUGAUCUUGUUGAUGUGUUUGUGAACCAAGUAAUAUCUUCCACUUCAUCCCCAUUAUCUGGCACAUCUGAACCGACUAACGGGAAUCCGGGUCAGGAAGUGAAAGUGAAAGUUGUUUUCAAAGACAAAGAUGACGAAUCUCCAGUGGGAAAGAUCAGUGUCACAACCCAAAAUGCAGAAAAGGUCAUUUUUAUCCUGACACAACCAAAUGGUACCACAGUGACAAAGGAAAAGACGGUGCAGAAUCCCUCGGAAGAAAGUACUGUGGAUGAAGACUUCGUGGGUGAACCUGCCUCCACAGUUGAAAUACAAUUGGUUCCCCGUGGACGAAACUUCGACUGUUUCCGAACAACGACACUUCCUUCAGUUCAAACACCAUCUACAACACCCUUAGUCAGGUCCUCCAUCGGGUUCAACAUCCACACCACAAGGAACGACAACGCCGAUAAGUAUGUUGACAGUUGUCCGGUUCCAAUGCUUAAUGAUACGAAUCCAAAUGACCUUGCUGAUCUUGUUGAUGUGUUUGUGAACCAAGUAAUAUCUUCCACUUCAUCCCCAUUAUCUGGCACAUCUGAACCGACUAACGGGAAUCCGGGUCAGGAAGUGAAAGUGAAAGUUGUUUUCAAAGACAAAGAUGACGAAUCUCCAGUUGGAAAGAUCAGUGUCACAACCCAAAAUGCAGAAAAGGUCAUUUUUAUCCUGACACAACCAAAUGGUACCACAGUGACAAAGGAAAAGGUAGGAACAACGACACUUCCUUCAGUUCAAACACCAUCUACAACACCCUUAUCAGGUCCUCCAUCGGGUUCAACAUCCACACCACAAGGAACGACAACGCCGAUAAGUUGUCCGGUUCCAAUGCUUGAUGAUACGAAUCCAAAUGACCUGGCUGAUCUUGUUGAUGUGUUUGUGAACCAAGUAAUAUCUUCCACUUCAUCCCCAUUAUCUGGCACAUCUGAACCGACUAACGGGAAUCCGGGUCAGGAAGUGAAAGUGAAAGUUGUUUUCAAAGACAAAGAUGACGAAUCUCCAGUGGGAAAGAUCAGUGUCACAACCCAAAAUGCAGAAAAGGUCAUUUUUAUCCUGACACAACCAAAUGGUACCACAGUGACAAAGGAAAAGACGGUGCAGAAUCCCUCGGAAGAAAGUACUGUGGAUGAAGACUUCGUGGGUGAACCUGCCUCCACAGUUGAAAUACAAUUGGUUCCCGUGGACGAAACUUCGACUGUUUCCGUGAAAGAUUUGGGAAUUAAAGCAUGCAUCGAGAGAGGUUGUCCGGUUCCAAUGCUUGAUGAUACGAAUCCAAAUGACCUGGCUGAUCUUGUUGAUGUGUUUGUGAACCAAGUAAUAUCUUCCACUUCAUCCCCAUUAUCUGGCACAUCUGAACCGACUAACGGGAAUCCGGGUCAGGAAGUGAAAGUGAAAGUUGUUUUCAAAGACAAAGAUGACGAAUCUCCAGUGGGAAAGAUCAGUUUCACAACCCAAAAUGCAGAAAAGGUCAUUUUUAUCCUGACACAACCAAAUGGUACCACAGUGACAAAGGAAAAGACGGUGCAGAAUCCCUCGGAAGAAAGUACUGUGGAUGAAGACUUCGUGGGUGAACCUGCCUCCACAGUUGAAAUACAAUUGGUUCCCGUGGACGAAACUUCGACUGUUUCCGUGAAAGAUUUAGGAAUUAAAGCAUGCAUCGAGAGAGUAGGAACAACGACACUUCCUUCAGUUCAAACACCAUCUACAACACCCUUGUCAGGUCCUCCAUCGGGUUCAACAUCCACACCACAAGGAACGACAACGCCGAUAAGUUGUCCGGUUCCAAUGCUUGAUGAUACGAAUCCAAAUGACCUGGCUGAUCUUGUUGAUGUGUUUGUGAACCAAGUAAUAUCUUCCACUUCAUCCCCAUUAUCUGGCACAUCUGAACCGACUAACGGGAAUCCGGGUCAGGAAGUGAAAGUGAAAGUUGUUUUCAAAGACAAAGAUGACGAAUCUCCAGUGGGAAAGAUCAGUGUCACAACCCAAAAUGCAGAAAAGGUCAUUUUUAUCCUGACACAACCAAAUGGUACCACAGUGACAAAGGAAAAGACGGUGCAGAAUCCCUCGGAAGAAAGUACUGUGGAUGAAGACUUCGUGGGUGAACCUGCCUCCACAGUUGAAAUACAAUUGGUUCCCGUGGACGAAACUUCGACUGUUUCCGUGAAAGAUUUGGGAAUUAAAGCAUGCAUCGAGAGAGUAGGAACAACGACACUUCCUUCAGUUCAAACACCAUCUACAACACCCUUAUCAGGUCCUCCAUCGGGUUCAACAUCCACACCACAAGCAACGACAACGCCGAUAAGUUGUCCGGUUCCAAUGCUUGAUGAUACGAAUCCAAAUGACCUGGCUGAUCUUGUUGAUGUGUUUGUGAACCAAGUAAUAUCUUCCACUUCAUCCCCAUUAUCUGGCACAUCUGAACCGACUAACGGGAAUCCGGGUCAGGAAGUGAAAGUGAAAGUUGUUUUCAAAGACAAAGAUGACGAAUCUCCAGUGGGAAAGAUCAGUGUCACAACCCAAAAUGCAGAAAAGGUCAUUUUUAUCCUGACACAACCAAAUGGUACCACAGUGACAAAGGAAAAGACGGUGCAGAAUCCCUCGGAAGAAAGUACUGUGGAUGAAGACUUCGUGGGUGAACCUGCCUCCACAGUUGAAAUACAAUUGGUUCCCGUGGACGAAACUUCGACUGUUUCCGUGAAAGAUUUAGGAAUUAAAGCAUGCAUCGAGAGAGUAGGAACAACGACACUUCCUUCAGUUCAAACACCAUCUACAACACCCUUGUCAGGUCCUCCAUCGGGUUCAACAUCCACACCACAAGGAACGACAACGCCGAUAAGUUGUCCGGUUCCAAUGCUUGAUGAUACGAAUCCAAAUGACCUGGCUGAUCUUGUUGAUGUGUUUGUGAACCAAGUAAUAUCUUCCACUUCAUCCCCAUUAUCUGGCACAUCUGAACCGACUAACGGGAAUCCGGGUCAGGAAGUGAAAGUGAAAGUUGUUUUCAAAGACAAAGAUGACGAAUCUCCAGUGGGAAAGAUCAGUGUCACAACCCAAAAUGCAGAAAAGGUCAUUUUUAUCCUGACACAACCAAAUGGUACCACAGUGACAAAGGAAAAGACGGUGCAGAAUCCCUCGGAAGAAAGUACUGUGGAUGAAGACUUCGUGGGUGAACCUGCCUCCACAGUUGAAAUACAAUUGGUUCCCGUGGACGAAACUUCGACUGUUUCCGUGAAAGAUUUGGGAAUUAAAGCAUGCAUCGAGAGAGUAGGAACAACGACACUUCCUUCAGUUCAAACACCAUCUACAACACCCUUAUCAGGUCCUCCAUCGGGUUCAACAUCCACACCACAAGCAACGACAACGCCGAUAAGUUGUCCGGUUCCAAUGCUUGAUGAUACGAAUCCAAAUGACCUGGCUGAUCUUGUUGAUGUGUUUGUGAACCAAGUAAUAUCUUCCACUUCAUCCCCAUUAUCUGGCACAUCUGAACCGACUAACGGGAAUCCGGGUCAGGAAGUGAAAGUGAAAGUUGUUUUCAAAGACAAAGAUGACGAAUCUCCAGUGGGAAAGAUCAGUGUCACAACCCAAAAUGCAGAAAAUGUCAUUUUUAUCCUGACACAACCAAAUGGUACCACAGUGACAAAGGAAAAGACGGUGCAGAAUCCCUCGGAAGAAAGUACUGUGGAUGAAGACUUCGUGGGUGAACCUGCCUCCACAGUUGAAAUACAAUUGGUUCCCGUGGACGAAACUUCGACUGUUUCCGUGAAAGAUUUAGGAAUUAAAGCAUGCAUCGAGAGAGUAGGAACAACGACACUUCCUUCAGUUCAAACACCAUCUACAACACCCUUGUCAGGUCCUCCAUCGGGUUCAACAUCCACACCACAAGCAACGACAACGCCGAUAAGUUGUCCGGUUCCAAUGCUUGAUGAUACGAAUCCAAAUGACCUGGCUGAUCUUGUUGAUGUGUUUGUGAACCAAGUAAUAUCUUCCACUUCAUCCCCAUUAUCUGGCACAUCUGAACCGACUAACGGGAAUCCGGGUCAGGAAGUGAAAGUGAAAGUUGUUUUCAAAGACAAAGAUGACGAAUCUCCAGUGGGAAAGAUCAGUUUCACAACCCAAAAUGCAGAAAAGGUCAUUUUUAUCCUGACACAACCAAAUGGUACCACAGUGACAAAGGAAAAGACGGUGCAGAAUCCCUCGGAAGAAAGUACUGUGGAUGAAGACUUCGUGGGUGAACCUGCCUCCACAGUUGAAAUACAAUUGGUUCCCGUGGACGAAACUUCGACUGUUUCCGUGAAAGAUUUAGGAAUUAAAGCAUGCAUCGAGAGAGUAGGAACAACGACACUUCCUUCAGUUCAAACACCAUCUACAACACCCUUGUCAGGUCCUCCAUCGGGUUCAACAUCCACACCACAAGGAACGACAACGCCGAUAAGUUGUCCGGUUCCAAUGCUUGAUGAUACGAAUCCAAAUGACCUGGCUGAUCUUGUUGAUGUGUUUGUGAACCAAGUAAUAUCUUCCACUUCAUCCCCAUUAUCUGGCACAUCUGAACCGACUAACGGGAAUCCGGGUCAGGAAGUGAAAGUGAAAGUUGUUUUCAAAGACAAAGAUGACGAAUCUCCAGUGGGAAAGAUCAGUGUCACAACCCAAAAUGCAGAAAAGGUCAUUUUUAUCCUGACACAACCAAAUGGUACCACAGUGACAAAGGAAAAGACGGUGCAGAAUCCCUCGGAAGAAAGUACUGUGGAUGAAGACUUCGUGGGUGAACCUGCCUCCACAGUUGAAAUACAAUUGGUUCCCGUGGACGAAACUUCGACUGUUUCCGUGAAAGAUUUAGGAAUUAAAGCAUGCAUCGAGAGAGUAGGAACAACGACACUUCCUUCAGUUCAAACACCAUCUACAACACCCUUAUCAGGUCCUCCAUCGGGUUCAACAUCCACACCACAAGCAACGACAACGCCGAUAAGUUGUCCGGUUCCAAUGCUUGAUGAUACGAAUCCAAAUGACCUGGCUGAUCUUGUUGAUGUGUUUGUGAACCAAGUAAUAUCUUCCACUUCAUCCCCAUUAUCUGGCACAUCUGAACCGACUAACGGGAAUCCGGGUCAGGAAGUGAAAGUGAAAGUUGUUUUCAAAGACAAAGAUGACGAAUCUCCAGUGGGAAAGAUCAGUGUCACAACCCAAAAUGCAGAAAAGGUCAUUUUUAUCCUGACACAACCAAAUGGUACCACAGUGACAAAGGAAAAGACGGUGCAGAAUCCCUCGGAAGAAAGUACUGUGGAUGAAGACUUCGUGGGUGAACCUGCCUCCACAGUUGAAAUACAAUUGGUUCCCGUGGACGAAACUUCGACUGUUUCCGUGAAAGAUUUAGGAAUUAAAGCAUGCAUCGAGAGAGUAGGAACAACGACACUUCCUUCAGUUCAAACACCAUCUACAACACCCUUGUCAGGUCCUCCAUCGGGUUCAACAUCCACACCACAAGCAACGACAACGCCGAUAAGUUGUCCGGUUCCAAUGCUUGAUGAUACGAAUCCAAAUGACCUGGCUGAUCUUGUUGAUGUGUUUGUGAACCAAGUAAUAUCUUCCACUUCAUCCCCAUUAUCUGGCACAUCUGAACCGACUAACGGGAAUCCGGGUCAGGAAGUGAAAGUGAAAGUUGUUUUCAAAGACAAAGAUGACGAAUCUCCAGUGGGAAAGAUCAGUGUCACAACCCAAAAUGCAGAAAAGGUCAUUUUUAUCCUGACACAACCAAAUGGUACCACAGUGACAAAGGAAAAGACGGUGCAGAAUCCCUCGGAAGAAAGUACUGUGGAUGAAGACUUCGUGGGUGAACCUGCCUCCACAGUUGAAAUACAAUUGGUUCCCGUGGACGAAACUUCGACUGUUUCCGUGAAAGAUUUGGGAAUUAAAGCAUGCAUCGAGAGAGUAGGAACAACGACACUUCCUUCAGUUCAAACACCAUCUACAACACCCUUAUCAGGUCCUCCAUCGGGUUCAACAUCCACACCACAAGCAACGACAACGCCGAUAAGUUGUCCGGUUCCAAUGCUUGAUGAUACGAAUCCAAAUGACCUGGCUGAUCUUGUUGAUGUGUUUGUGAACCAAGUAAUAUCUUCCACUUCAUCCCCAUUAUCUGGCACAUCUGAACCGACUAACGGGAAUCCGGGUCAGGAAGUGAAAGUGAAAGUUGUUUUCAAAGACAAAGAUGACGAAUCUCCAGUGGGAAAGAUCAGUGUCACAACCCAAAAUGCAGAAAAGGUCAUUUUUAUCCUGACACAACCAAAUGGUACCACAGUGACAAAGGAAAAGACGGUGCAGAAUCCCUCGGAAGAAAGUACUGUGGAUGAAGACUUCGUGGGUGAACCUGCCUCCACAGUUGAAAUACAAUUGGUUCCCGUGGACGAAACUUCGACUGUUUCCGUGAAAGAUUUGGGAAUUAAAGCAUGCAUCGAGAGAGUAGGAACAACGACACUUCCUUCAGUUCAAACACCAUCUACAACACCCUUAUCAGGUCCUCCAUCGGGUUCAACAUCCACACCACAAGCAACGACAACGCCGAUAAGUUGUGCGGUUCCAAUGCUUGAUGAUACGAAUCCAAAUGACCUGGCUAAUCUUGUUGAUGUGUUUGUGAACCAAGUAAUAUCUUCCACUUCAUCCCCAUUAUCUGGCACAUCUGAACCGACUAACGGGAAUCCGGGUCAGGAAGUGAAAGUGAAAGUUGUUUUCAAAGACAAAGAUGACGAAUCUCCAGUUGGAAAGAUCAGUGUCACAACCCAAAAUGCAGAAAAGGUCAUUUUUAUCCUUACACAACCAAAUGGUACAUCAGUGACAAAGGAAAAGACGGUGAAGAAUCCCUCUGAAGAAAGUACUGUGGAUGAAGACUUCUUGGGUGAACCUGCUUCCACAGUUGAAAUACAGUUGGUUCCCGUGAACGAAACUUCGACUGUUUCCAUGAAAGAUUUGGGAAUUAAAGCAUGCAUCGAGAAGGAAGACGUGCCCAAUCAGCAUCCUUCCACUUAUCCUGUGUGUUCCAAGUGUAACCACGCCGACAUCAACUCCCAGUGUACCAACAUCGACACCAUCAGGUACCGUCACACCAACACCGUCAGUUACAUCAAGCACUCCUUAUAUACCAUCAGAAACACCAACCAUAACACCUACACCAUCACUUACACCAAGUGCAACAACACCUACAGUGACAUCAACUGUUACACCAACACCAAGCGGUCCUACACCUUCUGUCACACCAACUCCAAGUGAACCAACUCCAUCAGUGACACCAACCCCGAGUGGACCAACUCCAUCAGUGACACCUACACCAAGCGGUCCUACUCCUUCAGGAACACCUACUCCCAGUGGACCAACACCAUCUGUUACACCAACCCCUAGCGGCCCUGCGCCUUCUGUGACACCAACCCCAAGUGGACCAACUCCCUCAGUUACACCCACACCUAGUGGACCAACACCAUCGGUCACAGUAACACCAAGUGUGUCUACACCAGGUGGACCAACACCGUCAGUCACACCGACACCAAGCGGUCCUAAACCAUCUGUAACUCCCACACCAAGUGGACCAACACCGUCAGUCACACCAACGCCAAGUGGCCCCACACCCUCAGUGACACCUACACCAAGUGUUCCUACUCCAAGUGGACCAACACCGUCAGUGACACCAACCCCGAGUGGACCAACUCCAUCAGUGACACCUACACCGAGCGGUCCUACCCCUUCAGGAACACCUACUCCCAGUGGACAAACACCAUCUGUUACACCAACCCCUAGCGGCCCUUCACCUUCUGUGACACCAACCCCAAGUGGACCAACUCCCUCCGUUACACCCACACCCAGUGGACCAACACCAUCAGUCACAGUAACACCAAGUGUGUCUACACCAGGUGGCCCAACACCGUCAGUCACACCCACACCAAGUGGUCCUACACCAUCUGUUACUCCUACACCAAGUGGACCAACACCGUCAGUCACACCAACACCGAGCGGUCCUACUCCUUCAGGAACACCUACUCCCAGUGGACCAACACCAUCUGUAACACCAACACCUAGUGGACCAACACCAUCAAUUACACCAACACCAAGUGCCCCGACCCCCAGUGGACCAACACCUAGUGGACCAACACCGUCAGUCACGCCGACACCAAGCGGUCCUUCACCAUCUGUUACUCCCACACCAAGUGGACCAACACCGUCAGUCACACCAACGCCAAGUGGCCCCACACCCUCAGUGACACCUACACCAAGUGUUCCUACUCCAAGUGGACCAACACCGUCAGUGACACCAACCCCGAGUGGACCAACUCCAUCAGUGACACCUACACCGAGCGGUCCUACCCCUUCAGGAACACCUACUCCCAGUGGACCAACACCAUCUGUUACACCAACCCCUAGCGGCCCUACACCUUCUGUGACACCAACCCCAAGUGGACCAACUCCCUCCGUUACACCCACACCCAGUGGACCAACACCAUCAGUCACAGUAACACCAAGUGUGUCUACACCAGGUGGCCCAACACCGUCAGUCACACCCACACCAAGUGGUCCUACACCAUCUGUUACUCCUACACCAAGUGGACCAACACCGUCAGUCACACCAACACCGAGCGGUCCUACUCCUUCAGGAACACCUACUCCCAGUGGACCAACACCAUCUGUAACACCAACACCUAGUGGACCAACACCAUCAAUUACACCAACACCAAGUGCCCCGACCCCCAGUGGACCAACACCUAGUGGACCAACGCCAUCAGUAACACCAACACCUAGUGCCACAACACCUAGUGGCCCAACACCUAGUGGACCAACACCAUCAGUGACCCCAACACCCAGCGGAUCAACACCCAGUGGCCCAACAACAUUAGCAACACCAACUCCUACCGGCCCAACACCAUCAGUUACGCCAACCCCAAGUGGCCCAACGCCAUCAAUUACACCAACACCUAGUGGCCCGACGCCCAGUGGACCAACACCUAGUGGACCAACACCAUCAGUGACACCAACACCAUCAGUGACACCAACUCCAUCGGUUACACCAACACCAAGUGGCCCAACACCCAGUGGCACAACACCGUCAGUCACACCAACACCUAGCGUACCAACACCAAGUGGACCAACACCUUCGGUAACACCAACACCUAGUGGACCGACGCCAAGUGUCACACCAAGUGGAUCUACACCUUCUUUGCCUCCAUCAACCCCUGCAACAGCUGUAUCAACUCCCCGUAUAACAACGCCAUCAAUAGCCACUCCAUCCUCGAGAAUAACUACACCUAAAAUAAUUACUACAACUACUAUUGGAUCCACUCCAUCAACAUCUAUCACAACUACAUCAAGUGUACCAACACCGUCAGUAUCAUCAACACCAAGCAGUCCUACUCCGUCAGGAACACCUACACCCAGUGGACCAACACCAUCGGUCACAGUCACACCAAGUGUGUCUACACCAGGUGGACCAACACCGUCAGUCACACCAACGCCAAGUGGCCCCACACCCUCAGUGACACCUACACCAAGUGUUCCUACUCCAAGUGGACCAACACCGUCAGUGACACCAACCCCGAGUGGACCAACUCCAUCAGUGACACCUACACCGAGCGGUCCUACUCCUUCAGGAACACCU